UGCUGUGGCGACUGCCGCGACACCGCCUUCGAGGGCAGCCACUCGCUUCUCGAAGACAUCCGUCGUGGGAUUCA
rnacentral:tRNA from 1 species